AGCACAGAGCGCGGGAGUCCGGUACGACCGGGCUGAGAGGGCGGCUGAACGGGCCGCCGACCGCCAGACCUGAUCCGGAUCAUGCCGGCGAAGGGAGCGCGCAUGCAGAUCGU
rnacentral:ncRNA from 1 species